rnacentral:rRNA from 1 species
UACAGAGGGUGCAAGCGUUGUUCGGAAUUACUGGGCGUAAAGCGUGUGUAGGCUGCUACAUAAGUCGGAUGUGAAAGCCCCGGGCUCAACCCGGGAAGUGCACUCGAUACUGCGUAGCUUGAGUCUCGGAGAGGUUGGUGGAAUUCUCGGUGUAGAGGUGAAAUUCGUAGAUAUCGAGAGGAACACCGGUGGCGAAGGCGGCCAACUGGACGAAGACUGACGCUGAGACACGAAAGCGUGGGGAGCAAACAGG